rnacentral:lncRNA from 1 species
CAUUCAAGUACUCAAAUACACAAAACAGUCAACAAAUACUCCUUAAACACAGGCAUUUAUUUGGAGGCCUGAUGAAACAAACAGUUGGAAGGUAACUUGUUGAACAAUCAAUUGCUCCAUAAAAAUACCCAUUCUUAAAAAAAGUACGGACAGAAUAAGCUCAAAAGAGUCUUCAGAAUGAACAAUGUAUACCAGAGCAUAGAGGCAACAAAUACAUGAAUGCAUACAACAGAACAAGUUCAUAUGUACCAAAAGACCAUAUGGAAAAAAAAUACAGAA